rnacentral:rRNA from 1 species
CACGUGAGAAUUUACCUUUAGGUGGGGAAUAACAGUUGGAAACAAUUGCUAAUGCCGCAUAACAUUAUCGCAAUGAAAGAAGAAAUUCGCCUAAAGAAAAGCUUGCGGCUGAUUAGCUAGUUGGUAGAGUAAUAGCCUACCAAGGCGACGAUCAGUAGCUGGUUUGAGAGGAUGAUCAGCCACACUGGAACUGAGACACGGUCCAGACUCCUACGGGAGGCAGCAGUGGGGAAUUUUCUGCAAUGGGCAAAAGCCUGACAGAGCAAUACCGCGUGAGGGAAGAAAGCCUUAGGGUUGUAA